CUUACAAAUCGUUCUUUAUACGAGACGGGAUGGGCAGUUCAGCGACACAAAAUGGCUGUGAGAUAACCAUAGCGACACGUGCUGAAUGGGGAGCUCGUGCCCCAAAGGCCACCACUCCACUCAACGAGCCAGUUGGAAUUGUCAUCAUUCACCACACGUCCAUGACAUACUGUCAAAACUUCGACGAGUGUUUGGUUGAGAUGAAAAAACAUUCAGAAUUUCCAUAUGGACACUCGAGGUUGGGACGACAUUGGCUACAAUUACUUGGUGGGAGCGGACGGAUCUAUAUACGAGGCCCGAGGGUGGGGUAUACAGGGGGCCCACGUCCGCAGCUGGAAUGACGUGUCGGUAGGGAUCAGCAUCAUGGGGGAUUUCCAACUACAACAGCCGGACAAACGCUCUCUGGACAGUGUCCAAUCCCUGAUUACCUGCGGGGUGACACGAGGCUACAUCAGACCCGAUUAUAAACUGUAUGGUCAUCGAGAUAUGAAUCCCAACACCACAUGUCCAGGGGACAGACUGUAUGCAGCAAUACAAACAUGGCCACAUUACGACAGUAAUAAGCCUGUUCACCCCAAAAAGAUGAUAUGAAGGUCUGUUAGGUUUCUCGUUUUAUAUGUAUAUAUAUAAACAAGAUUAUUGUAAACAGUAUUAUGUUUUUCUUGUUAUAUGUAUAAUAAGUUCAUCGCAAUCAGUAUUAGGUUCCUUUUUAUUUUUUAUAAAUUUAAGUACCGGUAUGUUCACUGAAAUUAGUAUUAGGUUUCUUGUUAUAAAUAUGAGUUAAUUGUAAGCUGUAUUAUUCUGAAAUGAAAUGUUCAUAUUUAGAAGCCGUAAGAAGUGUCUUUAUAGCUCAUUGAGGCCAUGAGUUCGAAUCCCAGGCUCUUCCUGGGAACUCAAUCCCAUUUGUGUUGAAUAAUGUGUUAUAUAAUUAAUCACUGUGGAAUUUGUGGUAGACUAAAUUGUACAGUUCUGAGGUUAGAUGCCCUGAAGCUGUCGUUGCUUUUUUUUGCUUGGACACAUUUGGUAUAGGCUCAACAGAAGUAAUGCCACAGAAUGUGGUUGUAGUACUUGUAUAUUCGGGGACCAACCACAUCUGUUGCUACCAUAGCUACCAAGACAAGUUGUAACGACACCGCGCAUUUGCUUGUCGAUUAGUUGUUGUGCAAAUGUAACUGAUUUGAGGAAUAAAACAAA